rnacentral:rRNA from 1 species
AGGACGAGCGCUGGCGGCGUGCUUAACACAUGCAAGUCGAGCGGAAAGGCCCUUCGGGGUACUCGAGCGGCGAACGGGUGAGUAACACGUGAGCAACCUGCCCUUAGCUCUGGGAUAGCUCCGGGAAACCGGAAUUAAUACCGGAUAUUACACCGGCUGGCAUCGGCUGGUGUGGAAAGAUUUAUCGGCUAAGGAUGGACUCGCGGCCUAUCAGCUUGUUGGUGGGUAGAAGCCUACCAAGGCGACGACGGGUA